GCCCAAGAGAUCGGGAUAACACCUGGAAACAGAUGCUAAUACCGGAUAACAACAGAUGAUGCCUAUCAACUGUUUAAAAGAUGGUUCUGCUAUCACUCUUGGAUGGACCUGCGGUGCAUUAGCUAGUUGGUAGGGUAACGGCCUGCCAAGGCGAUGAUGCAUAGCCGAGUUGAGAGACUGAUCGGCCACAUUGGGACUGAGACACGGCCCAAACUCCUACGGGAGGCAGCAGCG
rnacentral:rRNA from 1 species